UACGUAGGGACCAAGCGUUGUUCGGAUUUACUGGGCGUAAAGGGCGCGUAGGCGGCGCGGUAAGUCACUUGUGAAAUCUCUGAGCUUAACUCAGAACGGCCAAGUGAUACUGCAGUGCUAGAGUGCAGAAAGGGCAAUCGGAAUUCUUGGUGUAGCGGUGAAAUUCGUAGAUAUUCGCAAGAACACCAACGGCGAAGGCGGCUCACUGGCCCGGUACUGACGCUGAGGUGCGAAAGCGUGGGGAGCAAACAGG
rnacentral:rRNA from 1 species